rnacentral:misc_RNA from 1 species
UUAAGUUCAGCGGGUAUCCCUACCUGAUCCGAGGUCAAGCGAUAUGUGGGCUUGUGGAUGCCAGAAUAGCUGGGGAGAGUGCAAAUUGUGCUGCGCUCAAGUCCAAUAUUCUGGCUGCCAAUUCUUUUGAGGCGAGUCGCUAACGACAGCACCCAACACCAAGCAUAGCUUGAGAGUACAAAUGACGCUCGAACAGGCAU